rnacentral:tRNA from 1 species
AGCCCCAUAGUCUAGUGGUCAAGGACGUGGGCCUUUGGAGCCUGAGACCCAGGUUCGAAUCCUGGUGGGGCUA